CCGAGUUCCGCUUGAAUCAUUCAAGCAACUCCCACCCCUUGUCAACCAACUUGUUGCUUCGGCGAGCCGACAGGAAACUGCCGUCGGAUUCAUCGGGCGUGAGCUCGCCGAAGUUUUUUAAACUCUUCGUUUUGCAAGUCUGAUUAUACAAAAAAAUUAAAAA
rnacentral:misc_RNA from 1 species